rnacentral:rRNA from 1 species
UACGGGAGGCAGCAGUGGGGAAUAUUGCGCAAUGGGGGCAACCCUGACGCAGCCAUGCCGCGUGAAUGAAGAAGGCCUUCGGGUUGUAAAGUUCUUUCGGUAGCGAGGAAGGCAUUUAGUUUAAUAGACUAGAUGAUUGACGUUAACUACAGAAGAAGCACCGGCUAACUCCGUGCCAGCAGCCGCGGUAAU